rnacentral:rRNA from 1 species
GAUGAACGCUGGCGGCGUGCUUAACACAUGCAAGUCGAACGAUGAUCCCAGCUUGCUGGGGGAUUAGUGGCGAACGGGUGAGUAACACGUGAGUAACCUGCCCUUGACUCUGGGAUAAGCCUGGGAAACUGGGUCUAAUACCGGAUACGACCAUUCCACGCAUGUGGUGGUGGUGGAAAGCUUUUGUGGUUUUGGAUGGACUCGCGGCCUAUCAGCUUGUUGGUGGGGUAAUGGCCUACCAAGGCGACGACGGGUAGCCGGCCUGAGAGGGUGACCGGCCACACUGGGACUGAGACACGGCCCAGACUCCUACGGGAGGCAGCAGUGGGGAAUAUUGCACAAUGGGCGCAAGCCUGAUGCAGCGACGCCGCGUGAGGGAUGACGGCCUUCGGGUUGUAAACCUCUUUCAGUAGGGAAGAAGCGAAAGUGACGGUACCUGCAGAAGAAGCGCCGGCUAACUACGUGCCAGCAGCCGCGGUAAUACGUAGGGCGCAAGCGUUAUCCGGAAUUAUUGGGCGUAAAGAGCUCGUAGGCGGUUUGUCGCGUCUGCUGUGAAAGACCGGGGCUCAACUCCGGUUCUGCAGUGGGUACGGGCAGACUAGAGUGCAGUAGGGGAGACUGGAAUUCCUGGUGUAGCGGUGAAAUGCGCAGAUAUCAGGAGGAACACCGAUGGCGAAGGCAGGUCUCUGGGCUGUAACUGACGCUGAGGAGCGAAAGCAUGGGGAGCGAACAGGAUUAGAUACCCUGGUAGUCCAUGCCGUAAACGUUGGGCACUAGGUGUGGGGGACAUUCCACGUUUUCCGCGCCGUAGCUAACGCAUUAAGUGCCCCGCCUGGGGAGUACGGCCGCAAGGCUAAAACUCAAAGGAAUUGACGGGGGCCCGCACAAGCGGCGGAGCAUGCGGAUUAAUUCGAUGCAACGCGAAGAACCUUACCAAGGCUUGACAUGAACCGGUAAUACCUGGAAACAGGUGCCCCGCUUGCGGUCGGUUUACAGGUGGUGCAUGGUUGUCGUCAGCUCGUGUCGUGAGAUGUUGGGUUAAGUCCCGCAACGAGCGCAACCCUCGUUCUAUGUUGCCAGCGGUUCGGCCGGGGACUCAU